rnacentral:hammerhead_ribozyme from 1 species
AUCCAGAUGAUGAGUCUCAAAUAGGGCGAAAUGGGCAUCGUGUAU